rnacentral:lncRNA from 1 species
GCCACGGCUGACCGACUUCUUCCUGAAAUGAGUAGCAGGCCAUCUCUCUUAAGUAUGUAAAAGAAAAUGUGUUGUUCUCUUUUUCUUAUCUGGGGAGUGUCUGGCCACUCAUGAAGAUGUUUCCAGCUGCUUUCAUCCCUUUGUUCCAAGGCAUGGAUUCUAAUCUCUAUAACCAGUAACAUUCAUUGGCAAAGUAUACACUGUCAGGCCUCUGAGCCCAAGCUAAGCUAUCAUAUCCCCUGUGACCUGCACGUACACAUCCAGAUGGCCGGUUCCUGCCUUAACUGAUGACAUUCCACCACAAAAGAAGUGAAAAUGGCCUGUUCCUGCCUUAACUGAUGAUAUUACCUUGUGAAAUUCCUUCUCCUGGCUCAUCGUGGCUGAAAACCUCCCCUGCUGAGCACCUUGUGAACCCCCCGACCCC